GAUGAAGAACGUAGCGAAAUGCGAUACGUAGUGUGAAUUGCAGAAUUCAGUGAAUCAUCGAAUCUUUGAACGCACCUUGCACCCUUUGGCAUUCCGAAGGGUAUGCUCGUUUGAGUGUCAUUGUACUCUCACACUUCCAAUCUUUGGAUUGGGAGCGGUGGACUUGGGUGUUGCUGCUUACUGUGGCUCACCUCAAAUCGAUUCGUGCACCUCUUGGUUGGACAUAGUACGGCGUGAUAAGUGUCUUCGCCGGCACCUCAGUAGAGGGUGGCUGAUCAGGAGCUCUGUGCUUCAAACCGUCCUCGGACAACAACUGACAACUUGACCUCAAAUCGAGUAGGACUACCCGCUGAACUUAAGCAUAUCAAUAAGCGGAGGA
rnacentral:misc_RNA from 1 species